GAGAAAGAAGUGAUGAGUGACAUCAACCAGCAGAGAUGAGGAUUUUAGGUGAAGACCAAGGGCUUGGCAAUGUGGAAUGGGUUCAAGAGAAAGGGGAAACUGUAGCAGAUGAAUACAAAAAACCCUUAGAGAAGUUUAUAUAAACGGGAGAAAAAAAUGAGGGAAAUGGGGGAGAGAUUCUUCUUAGGAUGGGAAAAAUUACAGCAGAUUCAGCAACUGAUGAGAAUAAUCCAAUAGAAAGGGUAAAACGGAUGAUUUAAGAAAGGGGGGGGUGAGGUAAGAGAAUUGUUGGAGCAACGUAUGCAAAAGGGAGAGGAGUAUAUGCAGACCUGAGGGGGGCUGGCAUGUGGAGAAGGGCAGUUCACCCACAGUACCUAAAGAAAGGCGAACUAUGGGGGCAGACAGAGGCAGCAGGGUGGAGAGGAAAGCGGGAAUUCCUGGAAACACAGGAAGCUGAGAAUGAGGAUGAGGGAGGACCAGUGGAGACUGAGGGAGAGCAAAAGGCAUAAGCCAGCUGACGAGCGGAAGGGUCAAAUGGACCAGAACAAUGGCACUAAAUCCCUACACAAGAUAAUUGGAUGUGCAGGGUGGCUCACACUGACCACAUCUGUAUUUUGAAGCUGAGUCAGAACACCUUACCGAGUGGUUCCGUGUGGCAGUCCAGCUCAUGGCACAGAGGUCCUGAAGAGCCACGAUAAACCACCUCUGCCGCCCCACCCUGAGGAAGGAAAUCUCAGCCCCACACCAGCAGCAUGACAUCACUGCGAAGUGAGACUCCAAAAGCACCCUUCCACUACACUCUUCAGUGGACAAGGACCUGAACUCUCCAGAGCCACGUUACUGCCUGCACCCUUCUAGGAUUACUUUCCUUUUUUCCUAGAUUUGGUCCCCAGCACUUGAUGAGUAUCAGUCACCUCAGCUCAUCUCAGGCUCUGGAAAUACAGAGAGAGCACUGCCUGGCAUGGAGGAACACGUGGAUCAAAACCCAACUCACUCUGAAUGUACCAGUUCCCUCUUCUUUUCUUGGAGGAAAUUUGACAAUUCAGAAACAUUGUUUUAUCAGUGGUAAUUCUCAGCUAGGAAGCAGAAAAGACCAGUGACAUUUCCACAAAGUCCUUCCAUCAUGCUGGCUGAGAUUCAGCUCAAGUAAGUUCUUCUGGGCAUGGCAGGGAGAAGAAUAAUUUUACACACAGAAAACAGAUAUAAUGGACAGUGAAUUACACAGAUGGCUAGAGUUUCAUAAGUAUGUCAAAUCCAGACAACCCCAUCUGGCGAGAGCACGUUUCCCUCACUUCAGAAAAUCCCCUCAUGCUCCUUCCCAGUCAACCCCCAGCCUCCUGCGACAACCACUGUUCAUGCCUUCAUUACCAGCCAGCGAUACAGAGAAGGUCAGCUCUGCGGAACUUCACAGACCCACAGAGUAUGCAGGCUUUGUCUGGCUUCCUUCACUCACUGCAUUCUGAGAUCCAUCCACACUGUUGUGUGUACUGGGGGGGUCAUUCAAUUACCAGGCAGUUUAGUCAUCCUCCCACUGACAGACAUUUCAGUAGGUUCUAGUACUUGGCUAUUAUCAAUAAAGCUGCUACAAGCACUCUUUCACAAGUCGUGUGGGCAUAUAUUCUAAGAUAAAUACCUAGGGUUAUAGGGUUAUAGGUAUGUUUAACUUUAUAAAAAACUGUCAAAGCGUUUCCCAAAGCGGCUGCACCAUCCACGCUCCCACCAGCAAUGGACGAGACCCCCAGCUGCUCCACAUCCUCACCGAAAGCUGACAGUCGUCUUAAUCCCAACAAACCUAAUGAGUCUGCAGAGGUAUCUCAUUAUGGUUUUACUAGUUUAUAACAGUUUUACUGAGACAUAAUCAAACAAAGCAUACAAUUCAUUCAUUUAAACUAUAUAGUUUUAUCAAUUUUGGUAUAUUACAUUAACUUCUUAAUUGUGGUAA